rnacentral:rRNA from 1 species
UACGGAGGGGGCUAGCGUUGUUCGGAAUUACUGGGCGUAAAGCGCGCGUAGGCGGACCUGCAAGUCGGGGGUGAAAGCCCGAGGCUCAACCUCGGAACUGCCUUCGAUACUGCGGGUCUCGAGUCCGGGAGAGGUGAGUGGAAUUCCUAGUGUAGAGGUGAAAUUCGUAGAUAUUAGGAAGAACACCAGUAGCGAAGGCGGCUCACUGGCCCGGUACUGACGCUGAGGCGCGAAAGCGUGGGGAGCAAACAGG